rnacentral:misc_RNA from 1 species
CAGUUCUUCCAGGAUACUCUGGAGUCCCCCUAUGGUCAGUGCUGAUGGGGAAGUCUGUGUAAGUUACUUGACCAAUCAGUGGAGAUGCGUCGCUUAAUUUGAUCUACAUGAUACAUAUUUUUGUUACGCUAGUUGUUAAAACUUGGGAUUCAACAUGGAGAUCUCAAUUUUGAAUAUUGGAUGGGUGAUGUAGAACAAAGAGAACAAGAAUAAAUAUAAAAAUAGGAAUGUUUAGGGAUUUGAUUGUGUAUUCCUAAUUAGAUUGGGAUUCUUAAUUCCUAACUAGUUUGGGAUUUCCAAUCCUAUUAUUUAUAGAGAU